rnacentral:rRNA from 1 species
CUACGGGAGGCAGCAGUAAGGAAUAUUGGUCAAUGGAGGGAUCUCUGAACCAGCCAUGCCGCGUGCAGGAUGACUGCCCUAUGGGUUGUUAACUGCUUUUGUCGGGGAAUAAACCUACGUUUGCGAACGUAGCUGAAUGUACCCGAAGAAUAAGGAUCGGCUAACUCCGUGCCAGCAGCCGCGGUAAUACGGAGGAUCCAAGCGUUAUCCGGAUUUAUUGGGUUUAAAGGGUGCGUAGGCGGUUCUUUAAGUCAGAGGUGAAAGACGGCCGCUUAACUGUCGCAGUGCCUUUGAUACUGAAGAACUUGAAUUGGGUUGAGGAAUGCGGAAUGAGACAAGUUGCGGUGAAAUGCAUAGAUAUGUCUCAGAACCCCGAUUGCGAAGGCAGCAUUCCAAGCCUAUAUUGACGCUGAUGCACGAAAGCGUGGGGAUCGAACAGGAUUAGAUCCCCUGGUAGUCCACGCCCUAAACGAUGAUAACUCGAUGUUGGCGAUAGACAGUCAUCGUCCCAACGAAAGCGUUAAGUUUUCCACCUGGGGAGUUCGCCCGCAAGGGUGAAACUUAAAGGAAUUGGCGGG